AAUCCUUAUAUACCGGCGCCUGGACGCCAUCUCGGUCUUUCGAGGAUGGAAGUCAGCAGCUGGAAUGAUGCCAGGUACGAGUGCAAUGUGGCAUCUGAUGGACUGUUCUGUGCCAAAGGAAUGAGAACUGCUGCUGGGGUCUUAAAGUGCAAGCAUCACACUCUUGCCAUGGGCAGACAGGCACUAAAAAGGACUAACUGGAAGUUGAAAUGGUGGACUUGAGUCUCUUGACAUGUCUGGACUGGCUUGAAUUACUUCUUCUGUUGGAUACACAUUUUUAUCCAUGGAUGGCAUGCUUGGGAUGCAGGUUUUGGAGACACUUAAAAUAAAGGUGUGAAGAGUUGGGUUGGCUACAAGUCUUGGAGCAGAGUUGUAAGCAGAGGCACACCUGUAACCCUGGAGAUUUCCAGGCAUUUAUGGCAGCGGUCAUGGCAGCUGGCUGACCUUUGAUAGGCAGCUGGAUGGAUACUCAUGGGAUAGAAGAUCAACUUUGAAUUUUAAUAAAUUUUUAUAAACCAUCUGA